ACGAACGCCGGCGGCAUGCCUAACACAUGCAAGUCGAACGAGACCUUCGGGUCUAGUGGCGCACGGGUGCGUAACGCGUGGGAACCUGCCCUUAGGUUCGGAAUAACUCCCCGAAAGGGGUGCUAAUACCGGAUAAUGUCUUCGGACCAAAGAUUUAUCGCCUUUGGAUGGGCCCGCGUUGGAUUAGCUAGUUGGUAGGGUAAAAGCCUACCAAGGCGACGAUCCAUAGCUGGUCUGAGAGGAUGAUCAGCCACACUGGGACUGAGACACGGCCCAGACUCCUACGGGAGGCAGCAGUGGGGAAUAUUGGACAAUGGGCGAAAGCCUGAUCCAGCAAUGCCGCGUGAGUGAUGAAGGCCUUAGGGUUGUAAAGCUCUUUUACCCGGGAUGAUAAUGACAGUACCGGGAGAAUAAGCUCCGGCUAACUCCGUG
rnacentral:rRNA from 1 species